GAUAGGGAGCGCGAGCGUGAAGAAACCGGCCGCCAUCUUACGGUGCUCACAACAGUCGCCGCAGCGAUCAUGGCAACUUCUUGCAAUUACGGUCGUACCAACCGUACUGGCAAGGUUACAGGGCCUAAAUUUAUACAGGUUUCGUCAUGAGGGCUACCCAGUGAAUAAUCUGUGUAGUGUGAUACGGCUGGGUGUACAGGUUACUUCACAGCUGCCUCGACAUACUCAAGAAAUGGGUGCAGAACCUGCGUAAUGCCCACAAACUUUGAUUACCACAGCACCUCCAAAAAAGUAUGUGUCACAUGGGAUUUUUAAACGUAUUCACAGUAUAUAAUACCUUGUAUUAACUGUUGUAGAUCUAAGCCGUCUCUACAGUACACUCUCAGAAAUUAAAACCGUGAGAACUGUGAUAAUUGUUUCAGUUAAUAGGGCAUGCACAUAUAUGCUAUAAGAAGAAAAUUAUUUCUUGAGAAUGCACUUCUCUGGCUACUGGUGUUGUUUACAUCUACUGUUGAUCACAUUCAUUUAUCACGUAUUAUAUUCUUAUAUAUACUAUUAUAUUAACACAUAUUUGAUCACAUUAAAUUCAAAAUUCAUCAUAUAUAAGAAAAUACCAGGAGGGAAGUUGCUAUUCAUUGCUCAUUCUAACCUA